rnacentral:misc_RNA from 1 species
GAAGAUUCUAGGAGCAAUGAUCGAUAGUGACAGAGGAGAUUGAAGGUCUAUAAAGGAGAAGCACAUGCAUUUGUUGAGAGGAGCUAUGGUUCAGUCUCCUCUCACUUAGAGGAAGUAUGAUUGAGGUGAGUGAGUCAUUAUAUUCUGAGUGAAUGAUGCUUGUGUUCGAGUGAUUGUGUUCUUGUUCUGUGAGAGAAGUUUGAGAAUUGAGUGAUGUAAUUGAGAGUUCUUCGAGUAAGAUUAUCUGAUUG